rnacentral:rRNA from 1 species
UGAGGGGGGCUGCUCCUAGUACGAGAGGACCGGAGUGGACGCAUCACUGGUGUUCGGGUUGUCACGCCAAUGGCACUGCCCGGUAGCUAAAUGCGGAAGAGAUAAGUGCUGAAAGCAUCUAAGCACGAAACUUGCCCCGAGAUGAGUUCUCCCUGACUCCUUGAGAGUCCUGAAGGAACGUUGAAGACGACGACGUUGAUAGGCCGGGUGUGUAAGCGCAGCGAUGCGUUGAGCUAACCGGUACUAAUGAACCGUGAGGCUUAACCUU